rnacentral:lncRNA from 1 species
CUAAAACCUAGCUUAAAGCAACAAAUGUUUAUCAUCUCACAGCCUCUGUAGAACAAGAAUUCAGGCCCACUUCAGCUGGUGCCUCUGGUUCCAGCUCUUAUCUCUAAGGAGGCUGCAAUUGAGGUGUCAGCCAGGGCUGCAGUCAUCUCAAGCAUCCAUGGAUGUGAGGGGGAUUAUCUGCUCCAAGCUCACUCAAGUGGCUGUUGGCAGGAUUCGCUUCUGCACUAGCUGCUGGCUUGAGAACUCCCUCAGCUCCUGGCCCUGUAGGCCUCUCUAUGGGGCAGCACCCAACAGGACAGCUGCUGCCAGCAGGAUAAAGAAAUUAAGGCCCACAGGGGUUAACAAUUUGCUCAAAUGCAUGACCAGUGACUAGCGAGUGCAGAACCGAACACUGAAUUCACGUCUCUCUGACUCAAAAUUUGCACUUUCCACUCUCCAUGCUCCUGCAGAUGGGCAGCCAUUGCUUCAUGCAAUACAUCUCCUUUUCAUCUGUAGAAUGGGAAGAAUCACUCUGUAUUUUCUGCUUUUCUUUAAAAUGGAGAUUGUGCUUGAAAAUCUCUCAAACAUUGUAUAUUAGCUUUGUUAUAAAUACCACUUGGUUGGUGCCUUGAAAUCCAGACCCAUUCAUUCAAGCUGCACAAAACACCACAGAGCCAAAAAGAAGCCUCACCUACUGAGACCUGUAAAUAUCUCUUUCAAAUGGUAAACAGCUUGCUGGAAUACUGCUUACUUCUGACUUGAUGGCAUGCAAACUGAGACAACUGUGCACUCCAUUGUACAGUACUUUAAAUGUAUCUUGAAGUCUUAACACAUAACAGUGUAUUUAGGAUGCAUCUCAUGUACAACUGUGCACGUGUGUGUGUUAAAUAAGCAACUAGACACAUUUUUCUCUUAGAGUCACUGGUAAAAUAUGGAGUCAUAAGACUUAGUGCUAACACG